AACGUUAUAGUCUAAUUAAGGAUACUAGGUUUGCGUCUUAGGGGUGGAGUGAGUUCUUUCGUUA
rnacentral:tRNA from 1 species